rnacentral:rRNA from 1 species
UUUUUAAAAACAUCGCCUCCUGCAAUAAAACCAAGUAUAGGAGGUCCAGCCUGCCCAGUGACAAUAAGUUCAACGGCCGCGGUAUUUUGACCGUGCAAAGGUAGCGCAAUCACUUGUCUUUUAAAUAAAGACCUGUAUGAAAGGCUAGACGAGGGCUUAACUGUCUCCCAUUUCCAGUCAGUGAAAUUGAUCUAUCCGUGCAGAAGCGGGUAUAAUAAUACAAGACGAGAAGACCCUAUGGAGCUUAAGGCACAAAACUCACCCAUGUUAAACAAUUCAAUGAAAACUUUAAACUUUGUGGUAAAUGAGAUAAUGCCUUCGGUUGGGGCGACAAUGGAGGAGAAAAAAGCCUCCAAGUGGAAUGGGGUUAAUCCCUAAAGCCGAAAGGAACACCUUUAAGCCACAGAAAAUCUGACCAUAAUUGAUCCGGCCUAUAUGACCGACCAACGAACCAAGUUACCCAAGGGAUAACAGCGCAAUCCUCUCCCAGAGCCCAUAUCGACGAGGGGGUUUACGACCUCGAUGUUGGAUCAGGACAUCCUAAUGGUGCAGCCGCUAUUAAGGGUUCGUUUGUUCAACGAUUAAAGUCCUACGUGAUCUGAGUU